GUUCAUUCCCAAUAAAUGUGUCAUCCUGCAGGUCUGCCUUCAGGUCGAGAAAGCCCCCAGCCCAGUCCUUGGCUCCUACUGCCCCCACGACUGCAUGGCCCUGCCCAGGGAAGGAGAUAAGCGGAUCAGCUACCCACCGACCCACCCCCCGGAGCCAAGUGCACUCCCUGCAGCCCAUUGCUCCAGCCCAGCACGCACCCUGCUGAGGUCAGCACUGAUGCCGCUGGAGGACAGCUCCAUGUUGAAAGAAGUCAGGUCCUGUUUGCUUGUGCCUGGGGAACAAAGCAGAGAACAGUGUUGCUGAGUUUCUUCAUCACAUCUUUCAUGAAGUCCAGAAUUUUCUGAAAUUCAUCUGGCUGCAAGCUCAUCGAACCGUCAAACAGAAAUACCAGGUCUACGUUGCCCUUGAUACAUUCUGCAGAAGCCAGACGCAAGGGACCCAGUGAAGCAUCUCUGGUGUUUGACCUGCCCAUGCUGGUUCUCUCUAGGCACAGCCAUUUGGAGGGACAGGGUUGACCAGGCUGGUCUUGAACUCCUGGCCUCAAGCAAUCCUCCAGCUUUGGCUUCCCAAAGUGUUGGGAUUACAGAUGUGAGCCACCAGCCCGGCCUCAUCAGCUUUGUAUCUCACUCCCCUUCCCCUGUCAGAACCUCGCCCAAUGCCUGGCAUAUAAUAGUAGCUAAAUAAACAAGCUCUACUUAA
rnacentral:antisense_RNA from 1 species